UCGAGGAAGCAUCUUCAGAUCAGGAUGAAAUCUUUAUAUUUGCAUUCAAACAUUGUAAAAGAAAUCUAGUAUAGUUUAAUUUUUGAUGCUUCCGAGUUUCAGCAGUCCUGAUUCCUGAUGUUUUCUGGGUGAGCAUGGUUCUCUCCUUUUUCAAGUUAACAACUUAUUUUAUAUUACUUUUGCUGAGAUUGAUUGUGAGUUGCAAGUUUCGCAAUGCAAUUUUUGUAUUAUGAAUCCUUGAUGGACUAUGGUGAAAAUUUACUUUUCUUUGUAGAAAAAACAUCAAAGAAUUAUACUACUAUACAAAUCAGGUUUGUUAAUAUUGAUACUGCUGAUGUUAAUAAUCACUUGGCUAUUGUGAAAUAUGUUGAGGAUAUUUACAAAUUUUAUAAGCUCACAAAGGUCUGGUGAAUAUCAGAUGUCUCUGUUUCAAUGCUGGGGUGAUUUUACUGUUAUAGUGGAUACGGAUGAACGUUGAUUGUAUUAUUACAUGGAUUCACAACCACACAUCAACGCCAGGGUCAAAGCUAGCAAUUUUUCUGGAAGGUUGAACUACUUGAAAAA